AGUCUGCUGUAUGCUGUUGCCAGAAGAGGUUGUCUGUGUUGAGCAGGGUGCUCAGCUCUCCACGAGAUGCUAAUUAUCUACUGAGGUUAGAGACUUUUUGAGGUAAAGAGGAGCAUCUCAUCUGAACCUGAUGUCUAUCAUGGAUAUUUAACUGCAGUUCUGUGAGUAUCCCAACUUAACCAUGAAGAUGAACUGCAAACUGUAAGUCAUUAAUAUCUCAUUACUCUUGGGCACAUUGAUGUAUUUUGGCUUCCUGGUGAGGUAACCUGUUACCUGAAGGUUGAUCUGCGUAGUAAGGAUGUUUUAUUGGUUCAUGGGUUACUUGGGUGUUUGGUUUAUGUUGGUUUUAAUGAUUUGUUAAAAUGGUUACAGGCUCCAAGUUAUUGUUGUAAGCUGGAGCAAUGGGUUGGGUUCUGACAUCUGCAGUCUUCUUUCAUUCUACUCUCCUGAGCUCUGCAUCUUCAUCACAUGAGUGUUGCUUUACUGAUGAGGGUGAGGUCUGAGUGAGCAGAGGUGCAUACUGGGAUACAGAGCUGUCUGAAGUCUACAGGUCUGUAGACGCGCCCCCUCAGGGGAAACGGAGUGUUUGAGAAUCUGUCGUGACGUCAGUUACAUGGACUGGAAUGUUCUUAAAGAUGGAGACAGGGAUUCAGAAGGAGAAACACCAGGGGGAGGUGAGGGGGCUCCUCAUCUCAACGGCUAAAACACAACUUCAGUCUGACAGAGAACCAUGGAACACAUUCAACAGUCCCCUCCAGGCAUCGUCACUCCUCAGAAAGGUUUCAUUUCCAAGGUCUUAUUUGGGGCCAUCCCCAUAUGGAUCCUGCUCCUCAAGAGCCACCCCCCCUCCACUGGGUGGUCUUCUGAACAGAUGACCUCCUUCCUGUCCUCAGGCUGACUAAAGCUGCACCGUUUGCAUCUGUGAAGGCCCCUCAUUCAGGAAACCACUUGACUACAAAGACAUGACUUCAGAGACGUUGAAUCAACCUGGGACAUAUUUUGGAGACGUAAAGCAUAAUCCAUCACCAAUGUGGGACGCCACUGAAGAAUGUUGUGCAUAAUUUACAUCUCUGGAGAAAUUGGUUGUUCUGGUAUGGGUGCCCUGGCAGGAGGCCUGGGGAGGGGAGGGGGGGGAUGAUGGAAUGUUAUUUGGCAUGAGGUGUUUACCCUGCAUGAUUGUUUGGCCUUUUAUGGCUCAGUGGUGUGUGUGUGUGUGUGUGUGUUUGACAUGAGAUGGAAGAUUUUUGAGGGUUCUACUGUGUGUCUCCCACUCUCACCUGGCAUGGGGUUCUACGUGCCUGGCCUGGGUUCUAUGUGUGUCCGGCUUGCUUUGACCGUGAUAAUGUUCAUACGGGGGUCUGUGUGAUUGGCUUGGGAUAUUGGAAUGGUCAACUAAAUCAUGCCUGAUGGACGGCCACACGUUUACUCAAGGGCCUCCAGUAGACAUGAAGAGCCCUGAGCGACGCUCCAGAGCGAUAUCCAACACACUGGGCAGGAAGGAGAGUAUCCAACUCGAGUGUAAAAGGAUGCAAGCGGCGUGUUCAGAUCAGUGACUUCAAAUUAGGACUACACCAAUCAGGAUCAAUGGAGGAUUGACACCAAAAGGAAUUCCACAAGGAGAGUCUGACGUUGGAAAGGGACCUAAAUGGAUUUUCAAGAUGACCAUCAGACCUGUAAUGAGUCGGCUCUUCCUACCUGGCCGGAUUGAUGGAGAGCCCUGUGGAAACCUUCACUGGGGCUUCAAGGUAUAAAGAGGAGACUGUUUCAAUGGUAUUCCAUGGUACCCUGAUGAAGACCGUUGUUGUGUUCCACUGGCUGAGGGGAAGAACCCACACAUCUUUCUCUUGACCGUUCUCAUGAGAAUCCUGGUGCCAUCUUGAAGGAUAUUCCAGCUCAUGAAACUGAUGUCACGACAGUUUCUUAAACACUUGGUUUCUCCUGAGGGGCGUGUCUAUAGAACUGAAGACUUCAGACAGCACUGUAUCCCAGCAUGUAUCUCUGCUCACUCAGACCACACCCCCAUGAGUAGGAUGCAACACUCUAGUGAUGGAGAUGUAGAGUUUUAUAAGUAACGAGGGAGCAGACUAAGGUGAUUAGAACACAAUGGAAUGUCCAGUCUGUUAAUCUUUAAACCAUGAAGAUGGUUGGAUAGUUCAGGAAUUGGGCUUCUUUUUAUUAUGGGCAGUCCUUUCACUCGGAUGCCCACGAUGAUGCCCAUGAUUUGCUGUUGGUGAUGAGGCGGUCAGGGUGACGUUGCAGGGCUAUGGUCGGCUCUCUGCUCAACGUUUAGAUUUGCUCUGUAUGGUUUAUACCCGGAAUAAUCUAGAUAAUUGUAAAAUGUAUACACGGUUUUGUAUUGAAUGAUUUUAGUUUUAAAGUUGUUGUGGGACGUACAUGGUAGUUUGGUUCUUCGUAUGGUUUUGAGUGAUAUAACUUGUACACACUGGGUGCAUAAUAAUGUAAAGGUACACUGAAUAGUAAUGACCAACAGCAACAAACAGAUCUCCUCAAGGUAAGUCUGUUGGCUGUGUUUUAAUGAAGACCAUCGCUGGACUUCAGGAUCUUCCUCCGUUCAGCUCAAGGUGAGGCACUGGUUCUGUUUUUUCUUUGGUUGGUUCCGGCCGGAAUGUUCGGAUUCCAGUCGGACGGUUUGUGCUUCCCGCCGUGGAAGGUUCUGAGUGCGGUCACUUGAUUUAGUCCCAAUGGUUAGCAUAGAACGUUGUAGUCUUGACAACCAUAAGAAACCACCUGGCAGUUUGUUGGACUGGAGUCCCCUGAGGGAAUCUGGCGGAACGUUCUGGAUUGUAUUUGCGUAACCUCGAGCCGUUUCCUAUUCUAUUUCAGUCGGUUUCGAUUGGGAAUUGUUGCCCCUAUCUUAAACAACUUAAGUCUGAUAUUAAAUACAUACUGAUGCGUACGUCGUACAAUAUGUUGAUAAAUUCCGAUGGUUGCACCGUACUUUUAACCACGAUGACGUGACGGGACUCUCACUGCGUACAAAACGGCGUUCUACUUGCGGGCCCAUUUUUGACAUCAGGGGAGGCUGAAAAUCAUUUCAAGGUGGAAGCUAAUUUGACAUUUCUUCAACGGAACCCAGCACCUGAAUAUGGCUGAGUAUAUUUGAUUUAAUAUCGAUACUGCUUAGAGUUCUUUGUUACUUCAACUUUUGUACGUUCUAAAUAUCUGCUGUCAUUAAUUGCCACAGAAGUUAAACGCUACCCAAUGGAAUGACGUUAAACAACGACUUUGGUUCAGUUACCAACUUCAUAAUAUCAAAGCUAAAAUAAUGGCAGUCAUUCCCACAUGUUACAAUAGAAGAUACUCUAGUCUAGAACUGUACAAGGUUAAAAAGGUAACAUGUAGUUUGUCUGCCUCCUCACCCAGAGCAAGACCUCCACCUCCUCACCCAGAGCCAGACCUCCACCUCCUCACCAAGAGACAGACCUCCGUCCUCCAGAACAGCUGAACGGCGAGGCUGAGAGGCUAGGGACCAGAGGCUUGUGGUGCCAGGGUGGACCGGAGACUGAGGCUGGAGACCAGGGGCCCACAGCACCGGACCAGAGGGUAACCAUCACCAAGCUCGUCUGAAACACUAAAAUCCACGACCAGGAAUCCAUGUCUGGAGGAGCCGUGCUGAAGGAGCUGAUGGAGGAGCCGAGCUGAUGGAGGACCCGUGCUGAAGGAGCUGUUGGAGGAGUCGUGCUGAAGGCCCUGCCUUGUGGAGGCCCUGCCUGGUGAAGGACCUGCCUGGUGAAGGACGUCUGUCAUGGGACUAGGAGUCUGUCUGAGGAGAGCUGCUGGAGGAGCUGAGACGCUGGAGGACGACUAGGAAUCGACCAACAAGGAUUCCUCAACGUGUUCCUGGAGAGGAGGCAAGCUGGUAGGGGAGCCGUGAAUCUGGAGGAUGAACAUCACUCUACAAACAAGGAUUACCACGACUCUGGCUGUGGAGAGCUGAUGGAGGAGCCAAGACUCGGGAGGAAGACAUCGCUCCACCAACCAGGAUCCUCACCAGGAAUCUGGAGGACUGAUGGAGAAGCCGUACAUCUGGAAGGAAAAUCCUGAGGAUCACCAGCACUCUACCAUCAAGGAUUCCUCAUAAGUUUGCAUUAUCUGGACAUGGUGGACUAGACGCACCUGAGCUGAACCUCACCUGAUCCUGUUUGGUCGGGGGUGGACACACCUGAGCUAAACCCGCCCUGAUCCUGACAUCCUGCUGGUCCCGUCUCCUCAGUUCAUCUGAGCCUUGUCCUCCAGAAGACCUGCUGAGCUCAGCAGUCUGAGGCUGAUGGAUCACUGACCUCCAGUGGGAGUGAUCUUCUUGACCCCACAUAUAACCGUGUGCUUCCACACGCCUUUCCCUCACGUCUGUCACUAACCUCACUACUUCACUACUCUCUACUGCUUCCUCUUUUCUUCCUUCUCUCUGGUUCAAAUCUUUACACUGAAGGCGCGUCUUCCUGCCCUCAGAGGGUUUAGCGUUAGGGUUGAGAGUCAGGGCUUAGAGUCAGGGACAGAGCUGGUCAGGGAGGACUGCUUUUACACAAACCUCUUCACUUGCUUUCGGAAUGGUGGUGACAUUUCGAAAAGAUUAAUUUGUAAAAUGUUUUCCUCUGCUUUCCUUUAUAAAAUUGUAUUACAUUUCUGUCAAGUGUUUUUGUUUAUAUAUUAAAAUCCCACAUUGACUUCUACAUGUUUGGUGCGGUUCAUUUGAUUGUCCUUUCACUUGGUUAGUGUCAAGCUAAACUCCUGCAAUACAUUUAAUAUACAUGAUUGUUAUUCAGCAAUGUUCACAUAAUCCAUUUUGUAAAAAUAUGAAACCUCCAUAUUACUACUAAAUCCAAGCCUAUUCAUGUAUUUAACAAUGUACAUACUGCCCCGCAGGCCAUUCUCU